CAACAUCUAAACGUGUACCCAGGGACAGCUCUCUGCCUUAAUCAGAGAAACUUCUCCUCACAGUGAUCAGCAGUGAGUGCAGAGUCAUAGCUGCCCAGGAUGCAGAGGGCUUUACAAGCUUCCUGAUGGAAGAAGACACCACCACCACUUCUGAAGUCAUCCUGGCACUAUGCCUCCCCAAGAUCACAUGGUUUCCAGCUCUGGCUGCUUAUCUGCCCCACAAGAAUACAAGCAUCAGAAUCCAGAUCAUGAAUUGAGUCCUGGUUCAAAUAGAUUUUUAAGGAAUCACCACAGGGGCUAAGGAGGUUGUUUGAUACGAAAACUGACCCAGAACGAGAUUAAGUGGCCUGUCCCACGUCUCGAGGGAGAUGGGAGUUGAGGUAACUUCCGACGCUGGUCUCCUCUCAUUUACUGUACCACUGCGCCCCCUCGUGG